UACGUAGGAGGCGAGCGUUGUCCGGAUUGAUUGGGCGUAAAGGGCGCGCAGGCGGCCCCAGAGGUUGAUCGUGAAAGCUCCUGGCUUUACCAGGAGAGGUCGGUCAAAACGGUGGGGCUUGAGCGUCGGAGAGGGGCAUGGAAUUCCCGGUGGAGCGGUGAAAUGCGUAGAGAUCGGGAGGAACACCCAUGGCGAAGGCAAUGCCCUGGCCGAUGGCUGACGCUCAGGCGCGAAAGCGUGGGGAGCAAACAGG
rnacentral:rRNA from 1 species